rfam:Oryza sativa Japonica Group DNA, chromosome 11, cultivar: Nipponbare, complete sequence.
GGUUGCAAUCAUACCAGCACUAAAACACCGUAUCCCAUCAUAACUCCAAAGUUAAGCGUGCUUGGGUGAGAGUAGUACUAGGAUGGGUGACCUCCUGGGAAGUCCUCGUGUUGCAUCCC